rnacentral:rRNA from 1 species
ACUUGUGGUCAUAUCACCCUGAACACGCCUGCCCUUGUCUGAUCUCGGUGGCUGAGCAGCGCCGGGCCUGGUUAGUACUUGGAUGGGAGACCACCUGGGAAUGCUCAAAACAAUACAUUUA